UUGCGCCAGGUGUCCCAGGACGCAGCACCCCUGGCUGGCUCCCAUGCGCGGUUCCACGAUUGGCCACCAACCACACCAGCGUCCGCGGGGCCCUGGAGUAUAGUGGAGUUCAGGGAUGCCUUGUGACUAACGGCAGGAUUCUGGGGGCUAUAGGAGUCCUGCCGUCUCCACGGUGACUCCUGGUUAAAAAGGGGUGGCAGGGAACCACUUGGGGAAGACUCAUAGCCUAGAGACACCCUCCGAACUCCCGGGGCCAGCGGAGGAAUGACCGAGGAGUGUGUCAUCUCCCCAGUGCGGAUGACGGGCCUUACCUCUGCAGAGGGCCUGUGGGUGGGGUUUGCACCACUUCGGGCUGAGGCCUGGGAUGGUUGUCUUUGCACAUACUGUAAGGGCCUAACCCUGGCCACAGAACUUUCUAGCAGUUCUGGAACAAUCCUACCAUGCACGGAUCUGUAGGAAUUUUUAGGGCCCAUGGCGUCCCAGCGGCUGCUCGGAGCCAUGUUUCCAGACACUGUUUUCUGGAGUGGAUUGGGGACAGCUUCUGUCUGGAAGGGACUGGACAAUGCCCUUCUAGCCGAGGACGGAUAUAGUGGCACAUGUGAGACCAUGCUGGUGGUCCCUGACCUCUGAAGAAGACUAGGAUUCCCCAUCCUGCCCACAGACACUGAAAGCAAUCUGAAAGCCUCAGUACUGCCACGGGCCAGCUGGGGUGAUCCUGAGACUACAUUAGAAGCCACUGUACCCUGAGAGUGAUUUGGGGGUAUGACGUGAGUGACAGACCCCUGUUGAUAAACUGAGGGGGACUUAGUGGCUAAACCCGGGGCCUGGAAAGGGACAGGGACCAUGCCACUAGCAUGGCUGGGAGCCACCUCCCUUGGGGAAGAGACCCUUUCUCAGACAGGGACCUAUGAUCAUGGCCCCCAUCAGCUCCCAGAGGACUGGAGUACAUCCACUGGGUUGCACCAGUGACCCUGGCUUUGCUGAAUAGGUCAUUGGAUCCACUUGAUCCUGACACUUGGAACACAGCCUCAUCCAAUUCUCCUAGCUUGGCUUGGUCCCCUGUGACCCCAGAUGGCAUUAUCCUAGCAUCUUGGCUCAAUUGUAAGGCUCUUGAUAGAACCGUGGGCACUCGGUGUAGACUCCUCACUGUGCCACUAGCUGCCGGGGCUGAGGAGUGACCUGGAGCCAGACUGGUGGUGUGGGGCAUCUGCAAGGGGGCUAAAGACCUCUCCCCAGCCAGGCUUUGAGGUAAGGAGGGGCAGUGAUGUCAAUCACCAUGGGCCCCUUGGAGCAGCUCUGAGCCACACUAGAGGCCCCCAUCAUUGGCACAGAACCAGGGGGACAACUGGGCUCACCCGACUCACUACUGAACCUGGGAGCAAGUUUGGAGCAGCUAAGCUAGCGGAGGGUCUUACAGAUAGACUUGGCUUCUUUCUGUCUGCCAUCAGACUGGGAGCCACCCAACUGGACACAGAGCCUGCGGGAAGGCUGUGACCCAUGCCUCGGAUGGUGGAGCCCGGGGGAAGGCUGGAGGUUAUGCCACCAGGCAGAGUGCCUGGGACUGCGCCCGUGCUCAUUCUACUGGCUACAAAACCUCCUGCCGCACCACGACCAGCCCUGCUCUUCAGAGAGUCCUGCGGAAUCACAUCUCUCUGCUGGUAACUGGGUGGGACCAUGGAUGCCUCAGAAGGGUGCCAGCAGUCUAUGUUUUUUGGAAUAACCACACUGAUCUGGGAGCUGCUGGGGUCCAUGCUGUUCAGGGAAAGAUUAGACUGAGUCACGGCCAGUCUGUUGGGCACUGAAGCCAGAGAGGGGCUGGGGGCCAUCCCUGUGGUUCCAGAGGGAUGUGUCAAAGGGCCACCUGCCUCUAAGACCUGGGAUGCAAGGGAAGCCAUGCCAUUGGCCACCUGACAUUGACUUUGGCCCAUGCCAGUUGCUAUGGUUCUCCAGGGGAGAUUCCCAGCUAGGCCAGGAGAUGUGGUCCCCUGAGACCCACUGGGGAACAUAGCAUCAGCCAAAGGCUCCUGGGGAUGGCUUACAGCCACACCCCUGAACAGAGGCGUGAUUCACUGGCCUACACAACAGGCCUCCUCAUCAGCAUGAGAGAGAUUUGGUGUUGAAACACUAACCACAGAGGGUGGACACACAUGCCUCCCACCAACCCUGGGUGGAUGAUGGAACCCAAGGGACACGUCGUUGAACUUGAAGUCCGGGGGGCUGGAUACCAUCUCACUAACCAUCAGAGGUUCUUCACAUAGGUUCACCCCAGUACCCAGGGAUGGCUGGUUCAGACCCUGGUCCAUAUUUCCAGCCACAGAGGGAUAUGGUCCACCCAGGCUAACUGAAACAAACGCUGAUGGGUGACACAGACACGGGGCUACUGAGUCCACCCUUGAACACUGCAGAUUUGAAUCCAGCCUAGAGCCCCAGCAUGGCUCAUUGAGGCCAUGACAUGUACCACUGACCACAGAUGGCUGGGAUCGGCUUGGGGCCAACCUAGUGUCCGGGGGUGACUGAGCCAGGCUUAGGGCUUCCGUGUGGGCCACAGAUGGUGGGAAUAGGCUGGGGGCUAUAGCUGGCUCGGCUAGGCUGGAGGCUAGGGUACAGGAUGAAUUUGUCUUGCCUGGACUGGAGGCCACAGAUGGUUGGGCUUGCCUUGGGGAUACUGCAGUGGUCUGAGAUGGGUGGGCUAGGCUGGAGCCCGCCCCACUGGCCACAUAUGGGUGAGCUAGACUUGGAGACAACCCAUGGGGUCCUGAUGGGUGGGCUAGGCUUGGGGACACACCAAUGGCUUGAGAUGGCUGGGCUGGGCUUAAGGACACCACACAGGUCAUAGGUUGGUGGGCUAGCCUUGAAGACAUCCCUGUGGCUUGAGACGGCUGGGCUAGGCUUGGGGAUACACCACAGGCCAUAGGUUGAUGAGCUGGUCUUAAGGGCACUGCAGUGGUGGCCUGAGAUAGCUGGGCAAGGCUUGGGGACACCUCACUGGGCAUAGAUCGAUGAACCUGGCUUGGGGACACCAUACAGGUCAUAGAUGCAUGAGCUCUGCUAGGGGACAUCCUGCUGGUUAUAGAUGCGUGAGCUUGGUUUGGGGACACCCUGGAGGCCACUGGUGGGUAAUCUUGUCUAGGGGACAUCCCACUGGCUUGAGAUGGCUGGGCUAGGCUUGAGGAAACCCUACUGGCCACAGAUUGGUGGGCUACACUUGGGGACACCCCAGUGGCCUGAGAUGGCCAGGUCAAGCUUGGGGAUUCCCCAGUGGACUGAGGAGGCUGGGCCAGGCUUGGAGACUCCCGAAUGGCCAUAGAUGGGUGAGCUAGGGUUGGGGACACUCCAAUGGUGUGAAAUGGCAUGGCUAGGCUUGGGGACACUCCAAUGGUCUGAGAUGGCAUGGCUAGGCUUGGGGACACUCCAAUAGUCUGAGAUGACAUGGCUAGGCUUGGGGACACUCUGAUGGUCAGAGAUGGCUGGGUCAGGCUUGGAGACUCCCCAGUGGGCUGAGAUGGGUAGGCUGGGCUUGGGGACUCCCCAGUGACCACAGAUGGGUAGCCUGGGCUUGGGGACACCUCAGUGGCCACAGAUAGGUAGCCUGAGCUUGGGGAUAUCUCAGUGGGCUGAUAUGGGUAGGUUGGGCUUGGGGACACCUCAGUGGCCACAGAUGGGUAUUCUGGGCUUGGGGACAUCUCAAUGGCCAUAGAUAGGUAGCCUGGGUUUGGGGACACCUCAGUGGGCUGAUAUGAGUAGGCUGCACUUGGGGACACCUCAGUGAGCUGAUAUGGGUGGGCUGGGCUUGGAGAUACCUCAGUGGGCUGAAAUGGCUGUGCCAGGGUUGGGUACUCCCUAAUGGCCUGAGAUGGGUAGGUUGGACUUGGGGACACCUCAGUGGGCUGAAAUGGCUGAGCCAGCAUUGGGUACUCCCCAACAGACUGAGAUGGGUAGUCUGGACUUGGAGACACCCCAAAGGCUUGAGAUGGCUGGGCCAGAUUUGAGGUUACCCCAGGGGCUUGAGAUGGCUGGGCUAGGCUUGAGGGCUCCCCACUGUCCAUAGAUGGCUGGGCUAGGUUUUGGGACCCCCAGUUAGCCAUUGAUUGGUGACCUUGGUCUGAGGCCACUCUAAAGGUCCUUGAUGGGUGUCCUCGGCUUGGGGACCUCCUAGUCACCACAGAUGGCUGUGCUGGUCUUGGUGUCACUCUAUUAGGCACAGAGGAGUGUGGUAGCCUUGGGGUCACCCAAUUACCCAUAGAUGGGCAGGUUAGCCUUGGGGAUACCUUACUGGAUGCUAUAUGCUGGGAUAGGCUUGGGGCCAGCCUACUGAACCCUGAUGCCUGGCCUAGGUUUGGGGCUACCCUACUGGCCAGUGUAGCCUGGGACACAAUUGGGGCCAAGCUCUUGGCCACAGAUGGUGGCUUAUAUGCAGUGGAGACCACAGUACCUAAAGACAGAGUCCUCCUCAGCUCUGUCUUGACGGUUGCCUGGGACACCUCAAUCAGAUUCACAGAGCUCUUGCCUAAGGAGAACUUGUGGAUCUCAGCCUCUGAGCCCCAGUGAACACGCAAGGUCAAGCAGUUAGACACUGAGCUGUGUUGGAAACUGGGCACUUUCUCCGAGGCUGGAGUGGGCCGGUAGGGGAAGUGUAGGGUCAUGUACCUAUAGCCGGUUUCAGUCUCUUGCGUAUCCUUAAACCUCUGGAGUGUCCCCAUGGACUCCGGAGGAAAAACAGACUUCACCGCAAGGUCCCCUUCUAAACUGCUUUCCCGUGACUCAUCUAUCUUGUUGACGGCAGGCAGGCUGGCCACAGACAUAGUGGAAAGGCUGAGGGAACUAGAACUUUGCAGAGAGCUUUCGGAAUUGUUCUCCUGACUGUAGGUCACAAAGCCCUGGGAGAAGCUCCUGGCCAGGUCACCGUCUCGAUCCUGUGGCAAACCACCUACUGGCUCACCGAGGAUGGAUGGCUGGUGGUCUGUUGCUAGCUUCUGGGGGCAGAGCAGGGCAGACACAGAACCCUGUGUUCGAUUCCUCCCCUGUCCACAGACAGAUGUCUUGGGACGAACUUGAGCCAAUGCACUGCCGGGGGAAGCUUGAAACAGACCAUGAGUCUUGGAUGCCUGAGUUUUGGUCACCAUGGUGACCUGCAAGGGACUUGGGGCCCCCUUGUCUAUCACCUCCCUAGUACCCGGGGGGGCCUGUUUGCGAUUUGGGGGCUGAUACCUCCUCCCCAGGCUCUCCCUGGAAGCCCUGGAUGCCUGCUGCUGGCCUCUGGCCACUAAGGGUUGGUAGAGACCACGAUGUACCCCUGAGGACUGACACCAAGGCAGGCCCCCACAGGUGAGGUAAGGCUGGUGAACAUGGGCAGCCCUCCCACCACCCACGCUGCAAGGAAGCCUACCCGAGGCCACCCUGCCCUCCCUGGUCGAUAGAUAAGAGGCCACCCUGCUGACCACAUGUGGCCUGUGGCAGCUCGGGGCUGUGCCAUAGAUCACAGAGGGCUGGUUCAUGCUUGGGCCCACACAGUUGGCAAUGAGAGGCUGCCACAGACUCGGGGGUGGCUGCAUGUGGGACAGCUUGAGCAAACUGGGGCCCUCCCCACUCCCCUCGGGGUUAAAAUCUGAUGCCAAUGUGCCAGGCUCCAGGGUCGGGCAUGCUUCUUCCUUUUGGAACUUGGGGCUCAAAUCCAGGUUUGAGGAGAAGUCCCUGCUGGACUCCAUCAUCUCCCGGGACAGCAUGGGAUACAGGCCAGUGAUCAGGGGACCCUGGUGAAUGCUGGUGAUGACGCUACCCAUCACCGAGGCUCCCACAGUGACCACAGAUAAGCAGGGUGACCCCCACAAGAUGGCCCCAUCAAUCCCCCAUCUCCUCCAAGGGCCCGGCAGGUUGGCCCAUGGUGAAACAACCCCAGAUCCCAACCUGGGAAUCCCUGACCUUGCUGGUCUGUGGUCUCACGGGGCCCAGGGAGGGCCCCCAUGCGGCCGAUGGACUCCUCCUGCAGGCCACCUUCACCAGGGCCGGCGUCUUAG
rnacentral:lncRNA from 1 species